rnacentral:rRNA from 1 species
CGGCAACAGCUCAAAUUUGAAAUCUGGCCUCUUUUGGGGUCCGAGUUGUAAUUUGUAGAGGAUGUUUUGGGUACCGCACUGGUUUAAAUUUCUUGGAACAGAAUGUCAGAGAGGGUGAGAAUCCCGUAUGUGACUGGCGGCCUUCGCCUAUGUGAAGCUCUUUCGAC